GAUGAACGCUGGCGGCGUGCCUAAUACAUGCAAGUCGAGCGAACAGACGAGGAGCUUGCUCCUCUGACGUUAGCGGCGGACGGGUGAGUAACACGUGGAUAACCUACCUAUAAGACUGGGAUAACUUCGGGAAACCGGAGCUAAUACCGGAUAAUAUAUUGAACCGCAUGGUUCAAUAGUGAAAGACGGUUUUGCUGUCACUUAUAGAUGGAUCCGCGCCGCAUUAGCUAGUUGGUAGGGUAACGGCUUACCAAGGCGACGAUGCGUAGCCGACCUGAGAGGGUGAUCGGCCACACUGGAACUGAGACACGGUCCAGACUCCUACGGGAGGCAGCAGUAGGGAAUCUUCCGCAAUGGGCGAAAGCUUGACGGAGCAACGCCGCGUGAGUGAUGAAGGUCUUCGGAUCGUAAAACUCUGUUAUUAGGGAAGAACAAAUGUGUAAGUAACUAUGCACGUCUUGACGGUACCUAAUCAGAAAGCCACGGCUAACUACGUG
rnacentral:rRNA from 1 species